GCGAGGCUAGGGGGGUACAGGGUGCUACACACUACUCCUUCUACUACUAUACCCUUAUUUCAUUGUUUGUUUGUUUCCUUCCCCAACAAAAAUAAAACGCAUAUUUCCCCAUUUGCAUUUUGCACUCCAUUUUCUUUGUCUCUCUCGUUCAUUCACAACGCAAUCUUUCUCCAACCCUUAGAUCUCUCAGCUUUCUGGUGAUUAGGUUUAUGCAUAGUUGGAGGUGAAGCUGUGAUUUAAUAUAUAGCUCGAAAAUGGGGUUUGAUAAUGAGUGUAUAAUCAAUAUUCAAUCUCUUGCGGGAGAGUAUUUUUGUCCUGUUUGUCGCCUUCUCGUUUUUCCGAAUGAAGCUUUGCAGUCACAAUGUACUCAUUUAUAUUGUAAGCCGUGUUUGACGUAUGUAGUCAGUACUACCAGGGCUUGUCCUUAUGAUGGUUACCUGGUCACUGAGGCCGAUUCCAAGCCUUUGAUAGAGUCGAAUAAGACACUUGCUGAAACUAUUGGAAAAAUAGCAGUUCAUUGCUUGUAUCAUAGGAGUGGAUGCACAUGGCAAGGGACUUUGUCUGACUGUACAUCUCAUUGUUCUGGAUGUGCUUUCGGAAAUUCUCCUGUUGUUUGCAACAGAUGCGGGAUACAAAUAGUGCACCGUCAAGUACAAGAACAUGCACAAACCUGUUCUGGUGUGCAGGGUCAGGUACAGCAGGGGGCCGUUACUCAAGAUCCUUCAGCUACCACUGCUACUGCUAUUGCGCCUACUGAUCAGAAUCAGGCUGCUGCUCCAGUUGCAGCAACAGCUUCACAACCUGCGACUUCUCAAGCAGUUGUUGCAACUACUACAGCUGGACAUGUUUCGAAUCAGCUACCCAACCCAGCAUCUCAAACCCAAGCUUUAGGUCAAAAUGCUGUGCAGCCAACUGCAGAGCAGUGGUAUCAGCAGCAACAAUAUCAACAAUACUACCAACAAUAUCCCGGACAAGAUCCAUACCAACAGCAGUAUCAACAGUACUACCCCUAUCAACAGUCUGCAGUUCCACAAUACCAGCAGGCUUAUGUCCAGCCUCAACCUCAGCAACAGACACAGCCGCAGGCCCAACCUCAACUACAGCCUCAGGCUCAACCUCAACUACAGCCUCAGGCGCAAGUACAGUCUCAACCACUUUCACAUGUGCAGACUCCUGCGGUCGCACAAGCUCAGAGUCAGAUGCAAGUUCACCAACAAUCACAGCAGCUUCAAACUACGGUACAGCCACAUGGUCAGAUGAGUCACCCACCUGGCCAAGGUCAAGCCUUCCCUCAACCUCAGCCUUAUCCUUACCCCCAAGUUCAGCCUCAUUCUGGGCAACCUCAACCGCAACAACAUAUGCAAAUCCCUCCUUAUCAGCAGCCUCAUCCUCAAAUGCAGCAUCCGCAGCCUCAAAAUCAACAACCAGUUCAGAAAUAUCCCGUUUCUCAACCUCAAGUUCAUCCACAAAUGCAACCUAAUGUUCCAGUUCAACAUCCGUCUCAGCCUCACAUGCAAUCUCACCAGCCGGUGACUCCUAAUGUACAACCUCAAGUGCAAAAUGCAAUGUCACAUGCAGUGACAGGUCAUCACUCAUACCCCCAACCUCUGCCUCAUCAGAAUAUGCAACUGGGAGCCCCUCAAUCUACUAUGAACUUGAACCCUCAACUCCAGGCCCAGCAUUCUGUUCAGAUGCAGAAUCAGUUUCCUCAGCAAACUCCAAUGAUGCGCCCAAAUCAGUCUCAUGCUAUGUUUCCUAACCAGCAGCAGCUAGCUUCGUUGCCUUCAGCUGUUCAGGGUCAAAACACCCCUGCUCUGCAACCGCAGCCAGGAUAUGCUCCUAAUCAACUAACUGGUCAAACCAACCAACGCCCUGUAUUGCAACCAGGUCAACAGGUAUUACCUCAGCAACCAUUUGCACAACACCAGAUCCCUAUGCCAUCUCAUCUACGACCCCAAGGUCCAGCACAUUCAUUUCCCAACCAUGCUUAUCCACAGUCCAAGGGUAAUACUGCACUCUCUCAAAAUGCUGUUGGAAGGUCCUCAAUUCCCAAUCAUGCACAGCCAUUUGCUCAAUCUGCCAAUGCCAUCCCUGUUAGACCAGGGAAUCAGAAUUCGUUGGUAGGGACAAACACUCAAGUGCAGUCAAGAGCACCAGAACCAAUUGAAAGGCAAGGCCAUGCUAUUGAGACACAAACUGACCCUGCCUCUGCGAAACUUGGAAAAAACGAGUUGAAAUCUGAUAAAGAAACAAAUUUGAAAUCAAAUACUGAGCUUUGGAGUAAGCAAAAUAAUGAAGAUCCAAACUCUGUGAAGACAUUAGGCCCAAAUGCUAAUGCAUUAGAAAAUGGUGAUACAUUGCAUAAGAAUCUUGGUAAGGGAGAGGCUUCUGGAAGCAUUGGGGUUCAACAUGAUAGCAAUGAGCGUUCUGUUGUCCAUGGCGAUGAGAUUCAAGAUGGACCUCCACUGAAGACGGAAACUAAACUCUCUGUACCAGAAACUGAUAAACUGCAAGGUGAUGAUACAAGUACUCCAAGACCUCCUUCUGGUGCUGACAAUCCUGCACCAGCUGUCUCUCAGUCCAAUGGUGGUCAUGGACUUGGCAUUGAUGAAUAUGAAGGGAUGCAGUCUGGUGGUUUAGCUCAACCAAUCAAUAAUUAUAAGUCUGCUACUUUCCAGCAGAGGUCUUCUGCCAUGUUGACACAAUUGCCACAUCAAGCAGGUCCAAAUCAGCCUCUCUCUGCAGCGAACUCUUCAACUCUAAUCUGGAAUCACGGAACUGCACCUGCUGUUAAUUCAGGACAAACCUUAAAUUCCAUGGAUAAUUUUCAGCAAACUAUGUUCAAGCAACCACAUAGUUCUGAUACCCAGUUUAACAUUCGUGGGCACGGCUUUCAACCUCAGCCUCUUGGACCCCCAGGACCAUAUAGCCAAGUUCACGAACCGCCUUUCCUCACUGGGUCUUCCGAUAGGUCUCGAAUUGGAGGGCCACAGUUUGGUGCCCCAUCACCUGGUGAUAUGCACAGUGGAAUGACAACCAACUUACUGCCACAUGCUUCUGAAGGUUUUGGUGUGCAGGAUGAAAGAUUCAAAUCUUUCCAACAUAAUAUUGAUCGGAGAGAGUUUGAAAAUGAUCUCAAGAAAUUCCCUAGACAUCCUUUUGAUGCUGAGCCAGGUCCAAAAUUUGGAAAUUAUCAAUUAGGUCCACAUGAAACUGGAAAGAGACCAGUUGGUUAUCAUGAUGAUGCCAUCAAGAAACCAGGUUCAACUCUUCAUCCUGGUCAUCUUGGACCAGGUCCUGGAUACGGGAUACAUCAUAUGGAUGGUAUUGCUCCAAGAAGUCCUGGUAGUGAAUACAUUGAUAUGCCAUCCCGGAGAUCGGGCCCCCUCUCUGGUGGUCUUGUUAGUAAAUCCGGUAUAGAUGAUUUUGAUGGCAGAACUGCAAGUCGAUAUGGUGAUUCAGUUGGCAUUGCAUUCCGUGAUGGUCGGUUUCCUCAUCAGCCUAGCCAUUUGCAUAGAGAUGCGUUUGAUGGUUUUGGUAAUUUUCGAAUGGGUGAACAUCCAAGGAGGGGCAAUUUCAUUGGUCGAGACGAAUUUUCUGGCCAUUUCCAAAGGGGUGAGCAUUUGGGUCCACAUAAUUUUCCUAGACAUUUGCAGCUUGGGGAGCGUAUCAGUUUUGGUGAUCACCCUGGUCAUAUGCGAGCCUUUGAACUUGGUAGUUCUCGGAGUUUUGAAUCUUUUAGCAAAGGCAACAGGCCAGGUCAUCCACAACUUGGUGAACCUGGGUUUAGGAGCAGCUUUUCCCUUGCAGGAUUUAAUAAUGAUGCUGGAUUUUUAACAGGAGAUAUCAGGUCGUUUGAUAAUUUGAGGAGAAGAAAGGCUGCCAGUAUGGGGUGGUGCCGGAUAUGUAAAGUCGACUGUGAAACAGUUGAAGGUUUGGAAUUGCAUUCUCAAACGAGGGAGCACCAGAAGAUGGCCGUGGAUAUAGUAAAAACAAUCAAACAAAAUGCAAAGAAACAGAAACUAAUACCCAGUGAACAAUCCUCUGUUGAAGAUGGAAAGCAGACAUGGGGUACUGGUUUUGAGGGUCAUGGAAAUAAGCAUUGAGUGGUAGUGGUAAUUACGGUUGCUGCUAUCAUGUAAAUGGAGAUGCUUUUUGGAUCUGAAGUCCUGUGGCAAAUCGGUUCUAGUUAAAGAUUAUACCAUCUUUCUAUCACAAUGUUGGGGGAGCUUUCAUUGAAGUGAUGAGAUAGACUUCAUGAUUGGUGAUUCUGGCCUCAAUCUCUACCUUGUCAAUGUGUUUUUAUCAGAAAAUUCAUUGAGCAAAUACCUAGAAAAUCCAGAUGAUAAAUGCAUGAUCGUAUAAAGAUAUGCAUAAAACUAAAUUAAAGAAAGUUGUGACAAGAUGAAAGAAUACAACCACACUCAUUUCUUGUCACGGAGAACAAUGUCAAAGAUAGGAACAACAUAGCUAUUUGUGAUUGAGGCCAAAUAAAAAGAUAGGAACGACGCCGUUAUUUGCGACGAUGGAUGGCGGCAAUGGCCAUGUGGUUCUUCAGUUAUCAUAAUUGUGAUUUUAGGUUCUAAAAACAUGUUUGAUUUUGGGGUUUAGGUUUUUCUAAAUUUAAAUUGGUUCAAUUCCAGUUCGAUUUAGUUUUUUAAAAACCGGUUCAGUUAACAAACUAAUUUUGUAAAUAUAGUUUGGUUUUCAAUUUUAUAAAUUGGUUUGAUUCAAAAACAGCUUAGUUUGAUUCAGUUUUUAGCGCAGUUCCAUGUUUUUGGUUUUUUGACCACCUCUAAUGGAAAGUGGACCAUCAUUUAAAUUUCUCUUAUGAUAUUUUCAUGUGUCUAUCUGUGCACCACAUUGAAUUGGUGGGGUUCUACCAACAUUUAUUGAUAGAUGCAUGACGAGAAACAGAGAGGGAGAGAGAGAUGGUUAUGAGCUCACAUUUUUUUUUUACAGCGAGCUCUUGUUUUCUUAAUGUCUUCUAAUUUGAGAAUUUAAAAGUAAUACAUAAUGUGGUCUCAACGAUGCUACAUUGCUUAAGAAAAUGGUAGUUUUGUACAUUAAUAAGGUCUGGCAUAGGAUCAAUGAUUUCUUUCAAUUAAUAGCUAUGUUGUCAAUACCUGCGCAAUCCCUGUGCAGUGGAAGGGCUGGCUGCGAUGCCACCAACUAGAAAAAUACGUUCGACAGUAGCGGCACUGCCGAUCGUGAAUAUUGCUAUCAUCACGUCACUCUAUCCCAAAGCGACCUACUAUUAGAUCUGCUUUAGGGCUUUUUCAAAAAACAACAAAAUUCUUUUAUAUUUUUAUUCUUCAUUAAGGGUAUCUAAGUCAUUCCACACCCACUUACGUUUUAAUUUUUUACUAUUAUAAAUCUACGAAAGGGUUGGUUCAACCAUCGUGAAAAACAAACCGUUUUUGUUCUUCCUCUGUUUUAUCCUUGCUGUGUUGUUUUUGUUCAUUUCUUGUUCUAUUCAACAUCGUUUGGUUCCUUUCUUGCA